GCUGUUAGCUCAGUUGGUUAGAGCGUGGUGUUGAUUAUUCCAAGGUUGCAGGUUUGAACCCCAUAGAGGACA